rnacentral:rRNA from 1 species
GAGUUUGUCGGUCGGUCGGGCUUCACUGUCCGCACUGGCCUGACGGAUUCCUACCUUCUGAAUAACCAGCAUGCUAUUAAGUUAGUGCGUUGGGGAAGCAGAGCUAUUACCUUGAAAAAAUUAGAGUGCUUAAAGCAGGCUUAUGCUUGAAUAGAUUAGCAUGGAAUAAUAAAAUAGGACGGCAUGGUUCUAUUUUGUUGGUUUCUAGGGCUUUUGUA